GUCAGUAACCCAACCCUAAAGGGACUGGGCUUGUAAGAGAAAUCAAGCAAGCCGUACUGACCAGACCACCCUGAGCCUAGUCUAAGGGUAGCCGUUAUUUGAGUCACGACACCCCGGAAUACGUAGCUAGUUCCCUGCUCUGUCGCUUGUGAUUAAACAGUUCUAAGGUCACUGGAACAGUGUUGCAAGCUCAAGCAAGCUCUUAUAACAGGUCGUUCGCGCCAGCGUGCCGGAGGCAUCUAGCUAACAUUAC
rfam:Anabaena sp. 90 chromosome chANA01, complete sequence.